UACGGAGGGUGCAAGCGUUGUCCGGCUUUAUUGGGUUUAAAGGGUGCGUAGGCGGCCCGUUAAGUCAGUGGUGAAAGCCUCCAGCUCAACUGGAGAACUGCCAUUGAUACUGACGGGCUUGAGUACAGACGAGGUUGGCGGAAUUGAUGGUGUAGCGGUGAAAUGCAUAGAUACCAUCAAGAACUCCGAUUGCGUAGGCAGCUAACUAGGCUGUAACUGACGCUGAGGCACGAAAGCGUGGGGAGCGAACAGG
rnacentral:rRNA from 1 species